UUGUCGCUUGUCAUCUUGUGUGGCAAGAGGAAAGUCCGGGCAACACAGAGUACCAUAUUUCCUAACGGGAAGCUAUCUGCGAGGGUAGAGUAAUGUGACAGAAAAUAACCGCCAUCUUUGAUGGUAAGGGUGAAAAGGCGAGGUAAGAGCUCACCGGGCGCGAUGGCAACAUUGCGUGCCGCACAUCUUAUGGGUUGCAAGGCCAAGUAUACCGGCAUUUAAGGGUUACUCGUCCAUUGUCGGGGGGUAGGCUGCUUGAGCGCUGUGGCGACAUGGCGAUUAGAUAAAUGACAGGACGCGGCGUUUGUCGCGACAUAACCCGGCUUAUAGCUGUGCUGU
rnacentral:RNase_P_RNA from 1 species